rnacentral:snRNA from 1 species
GGAUGUGAGGGUGAUCUGGCUGUGACAUCUGUCACCCCAUUGAUCGCCAGGGUUGAUUCGGCUGAUCUGGCUGGCUAGGCGGGUGUCCCCUUCCUCCCUCAYGGCUCCAUGGGCGUCCCUCCGGAGCUGCGCGCUCGGUCAACGACCUUCCCCGAGAGAGGAGGAUCGUUCUUCCGUCAAGGGUAUACGAGUAGCUGCGCWCCCCUGCUAGAACCUCCAAACCAGCUCUCRGAAAAUACCUACUGGAGAAAGGCUUUAUGAGUGCAACGAAUGUAAGAAAGGCUUCAUUAAUAGCUCCCAUCUU